ACGGUCAUUUCAAAAGUUCACGGU
rnacentral:siRNA from 1 species